UCAAUCUUCCUUGAACUGGAUUUGUUCCAAAGGCUUGUACUUCCAUAUCCUUAAAGUUCUGAUGAGACAACAUCCAAGUCUGGUGGAUGAAUCAUCACCGUGCUAUGAGAGUGUGGUUGAUUGCUGAGAUCUCUUGUGGGUACUGGCUGUAGAGGAUUGUUCUCAGACGGUUACUUCCAGUUAUGAUAGUCAUGCAGUUGUCUGACAGACC